CAAAGCCAAUUCAACAAAGAUUCAUCUUCCGCACCAAUUGACAACAAAAAAGUAGCCGAAGCAGCUGCAGAUGUCCUCGACGCUGCUCAGAAGUAUGGAAAGUUGGAUGAAACUCAAGGGGUUGGACAGUACGUUGAAAAAGCUGAAACCUACCUCCAUCAAUACGGUUCUGGUGGUAGUACUCCUGCUUCUGCUCCCGCUGCUGCCGCCGAAGAGAAGGCGGCUCCGGCAGCUGCACCGGAAGAAACAGAAGCACCUGCUCCAGCAUCGGAACCGGAGCCGGUUCCUCAGGAGGAGGAGAAAAAGAGUGAAGGAGGAGCAGAUUAUCUUAAGAUGGCUGGUGACUUCUUAAGCAAGAAAUGAUUAGAGUGUAAUUAGCUUCUUAAUUAAUUAUGUCCUAUGCUUUUAGUUAUAGUCGAGUGUC
rnacentral:lncRNA from 1 species